ACCCAGCGGUUCUGAGCCGUCUCAUCGAUGCAGCAAACUUGGGCGGUGCUUCGGCAUCGCCCUCUUUUUUUUGCCCU
rnacentral:misc_RNA from 1 species